rnacentral:rRNA from 1 species
AUCCUACGGGGCGCAGCAGUAGGGAAUCUUCGGCAAUGGGCGAAAGCCUGACCGAGCAACGCCGCGUGAAUGAAGAAGGCCUUCGGGUUGUAAAAUUCUGUUAUAAGGGAAGAAAGGUGAUAGGAGGAAAUGACUAUCAAUUGACGGUACCUUAUGAGAAAGCCACGGCUAACUACGUGCCAGCAGCCGCGGUAAUACGUAGGUGGCAAGCGUUAUCCGGAAUUACUGGGUGUAAAGGGAGUGCAGGCGGCUUGGCACGUCUGAUGUGAAAGGCUGGGGCUCAACCCCAGGACUGCAUUGGAUAC